rnacentral:rRNA from 1 species
UGGGGAAUAUUGGACAAUGGGCGCAAGCCUGAUCCAGCAAUGCCGCGUGUGUGAAGAAGGCCUUCGGGUUGUAAAGCACUUUUAUCAGGAGCGAAAUCUGCAUGCUUAAUACGUGUGCAGUCUGACGGUACCUGAGGAAUAAGCACCGGCUAACUUCGUGCCAGCAGCCGCGGUAAUACGAAGGGUGCAAGCGUUAAUCGGAAUUACUGGGCGUAAAGGGUGCGUAGGCGGUUGUUUAAGUCUGUCGUGAAAUCCCCGGGCUCAACCUGGGAAUGGCGAUGGAUACUGGGCAGCUAGAGUGUGUCAGAGGAUGGUGGAAUUUCCGGUGUAGCGGUGAAAUGCGUAGAGAUCGGAAGGAACAUCAGUGGCGAAGGCGGCCAUCUGGGACAACACUGACGCUGAAGCACGAAAGCGUGGGGAGCAAACA